UACGUAGGGGGCGAGCGUUGUCCGGAGUUACUGGGCGUAAAGGGCGUGCAGGCGGUGCGGUAAGUUUAGCGUGACAGUCUCCGGCUUAACUGGAGAAGGCCGCUGAAAACUGCUGGACUUGAGGGCCAGAGAGGGACAUAGAAUUCCGGGUGGAGUGGUGAAAUGCGUAGAUAUCCGGAGGAAUACCAAAGGCGAAGGCAGUGUCCUGGCUGGCAACUGACGCUGGGGUGCGAAAGCAUGGGGAGCAAACAGG
rnacentral:rRNA from 1 species